rnacentral:rRNA from 1 species
GACGAACGCUGGCGGCGUGCUUAACACAUGCAAGUCGAACGGAGUACCCUCGAAAGAGAUUUCGGUCAAUGGAGAGGACUACUUAGUGGCGGACGGGUGAGUAACGCGUGAGGAACCUGCCUUUCAGAGGGGGACAACAGCUGGAAACGGCUGCUAAUACCGCAUAACGCAUAGGUAUCGCAUGGUACAGAUGCCAAAGAUUUAUCGCUGAGAGAUGGCCUCGCGUCUGAUUAGCUGGUUGGUAGGGUAACGGCCUACCAAGGCGACGAUCAGUAGCCGGACUGAGAGGUUGGCCGGCCACAUUGGGACUGAGAUACGGCCCAG